rnacentral:rRNA from 1 species
ACGCUGGCGGUGUGCUUCACACAUGCAAGUCGAACGAGGUAGCAAUACCUAGUGGCGGACGGGUGAGUAACGCGUGGGAAUCUGCCUUUAGAUGGGGGAUAACGAGCCGAAAGGUUCGCUAAUACCGCAUAUGCCGCAAGGUGAAAGGAGUAAUCCGUCUGAAGAUGAGCCCGCGUCCGAUUAGCUAGUUGGUGGGGUAAAGGCCUACCAAGGCGACGAUCGGUAGCUGGUCUGAGAGGAUGAUCAGCCACAAUGGGACUGAGACACGGCCCAUACUCCUACGGGAGGCAGCAGUGGGGAAUUUUACGCAAUGGGGAAACCCUGACGUAGCGACACCGCGUGAGCGAAGAAGCCCCCUUGGGGUGUAAAGCUCUGUCAGCUGGAACGAAACAAAUGACGGUACCAGCAGAGGAAGCAUCGGCUAACUACGUG